rnacentral:lncRNA from 1 species
AAUACCCAUGAUUGGAACAAUUAAGAUGAUGGCACCAAGCUGAAAUGACGACUCUCCAAGAGAAUGAACCAACAUUGAGAGAAACACUCCUUCGAAUUUGCAAGAUGGGAAUAAUGACGAGGAACAACACCAAGAAAAGCUGAGGCACUCCGGAAUAAGAAGAAUGAAAGGUUGAGCCAAAUAUGAGAAUUAAUUCCAAUUGAUCUUGGAGAAGGGAUAUGACUGAUGAAAUUCAUACUUACGUCAUAGCUGAAAAGAAUUAAUGAUCUCCGGAAAAGAUUAAAGAGCCAGGUAAGAUC